rnacentral:rRNA from 1 species
UCCAAUCUGCCGGUGGCCGCCGGCGAGAUGGACCUGCCGGCGAACCGCGGUCGGUGGCGCAGGCGGAGCGCACGGUCGCAUGUGCCGCUACUCGUGGCCAUCUUUUUCCUCCUCCUCCCGGCAUCCCUCCUGCUCUCCUCCGCCUACUCCUCCCUGCUCCGCUCCCUCCUCCCCUUCUCCGCCUCCGCCCCCGGCAGUGGCGGCGGCGGCACCCUGCGGUGUGGGCGCUCGGCGGAGCUGGAGGGGGAGAGGUUCCUGUGGUACGCCCCGCACAGCGGGUUCAGCAACCAGGUGGGCGAGCUGCGGAACGCUGCGGUAGCGGCCGCGCUGCUCAACCGCACCCUCGUCGUGCCCCCCGUGCUCGACCACCACGCCGUCGCCCUCGGGAGCUGCCCCAAGUUCAGGGUCGCCGAACCCUCCGAUCUCCGAGCCGCCGUCUGGGACCACGCCAUGCAGCUCCUCCGGGAGCAGAGGUAUGUUUCGAUGGGAGACAUAGUUGAUCUGUCCCCACUGAAGCCUUUGGUUAAGACAAUUGAUUUCAGGGUAUUUGUUUCACUAUGGUGCGGUGUAGAUAUGCAGAAAACUUGCUUUUCUGGGUUGUGCUGUUCUGUUUCUGGCGGUGGAUCAUUGCCAAGUGACUACGAUAGAUGCCGAUCUUUACUGUCUGGUUUAGAAGGCAGUGAAAGUGGUGGUUGUGUGUAUCCUGUUCAGGAUGAUUGUAGAACAACAGUCUGGACAUAUCAGGAGAAUAAUGAUGGAGCACUGGAUUCGUUUCAACCAGAUGAAGAAUUAAAAAGGAAGAAGAAGAUAUCAUACGUUAGGAGGCGUAAAGAUAUAUACAAGAGUUUAGGGCCUGGUAAUAAAGCUGAGGAUGCUACCUUGUUGGCCUUCGGGACACUUUUUUCAGCACCAUACAAGGGAUCAGAGUCUUAUUUUGAUAUCCAUGAAUCACCAAAGGAUCAUAGAUUACAGAAUCUACUUGAGAAAAUUGAGUUCCUUCCUUUUGCCCCAGAGAUCAUGGCUGCAGGGACGGAGCUUGCUAAGAGCAAGAUUAAGGAGCCUUUUCUUUGCGCACAACUAAGAUUGUUAGAUGGCCAAUUUAAGAAUCACUGGAAAUCUACCUUUUCUGCCCUUAAGGAGAAACUGAAAUCUCUUGAGGUGGAAAUGAAGACAAACAAGAACAGUGGUUCUGUUCACAUUUUCCUCAUGACUGAUCUUCCCAGAGCAAACUGGACAAAAACCUAUCUCGCAGAUAUUGCAAAAGAUGGGAAAUAUCAACUGUACAUCCUGAAGGAAGAUGAUGUUCUGCAGACUGCCGAGAAGCUUAUGGCUGCUGAACAUGGCAUAAGGUCUGGAUUCCUUCCAAAGAUCAGAGGCAACACGAACAAGGAUUGUGAUCCAGUUCAACUACCGGAAAUUUUAUUAUACAUCGAAGAAUCUGUUUGCAGCUGUGCAUCACUCGGAUUUGUGGGGACUGCUGGAUCAACCAUAGCAGGAAGUAUAGAAACAAUGAGGAAGAACAAUGUGUGCAAAUUGUAG